AUGUUACUCUUCUUUAUUUUCAUAGUUGUUAAAAACAUUGGUGCUGUUGACAGCAGCAUUGCACCAGAACAAACCAUCAUAUCUUCAAGUGAAGGCAGCAACAUCACACUGACCUGCACAUAUGAUGAUUCAGCUUACUCUCUCCACUGGUAUCGACAAAAACCUCAAUCAGAACCAGAGUUUCUGCUGCUGAUUCAGAAAUCUACAGAUUAUGUCACUAAAGCUGAACAUCUUGACCCACGACUAUCCAUCAAACUUCACAAAACGAACAAGAAAGUAGAUCUGGAGAUCUUUCCUGCUGCAGUAUCAGACUCUGCACUGUACUACUGCACCAUGGAGCCCACAGUGACACAAAACUCAAACAGACUGUACAAAAAGUCAGGCUGCAUGUUUUUCUCGACUACAGGAGAGUUUCAGUGUUGA